rfam:Callithrix jacchus chromosome 4, whole genome shotgun sequence
GCAGUGCCCUACUCAGAAAUGUGCCAGUCAUCUAGAUUAUAUGUCACUGGUUUCUUUCUUGAUAGUGUAAGACU